rnacentral:lncRNA from 1 species
UAUCACACGUCUGAUAUGAGAGAUGGGAGGACAUUUAUAACACGUCUGAUAUGAGAGAUGGGAGGACAUUUAUAACACAUGUCUGAUAUGAGAGAUGGGAGGACAUUUAUAACACACGUCUGAUAUGAGAGAUGGGAGGACAUUUAUAUCACACGUCUGAUAUGAGAGAUGAGAGGACAUUUAUAACAUGUCUGAUAUGAGAGAUGGGAGGACAUUUAUAACACACCUCUGAUAUGAGAGAUGGGAGGACAUUUAUAACACAUCUGAUAUGAGAGAUGGGAGGACAUUUAUAACACACCUCUGAUAUGAGAGAUGGGAGGACAUUUAUAACACAUCUGAUAUGAGAGAUGGGAGG